AACAAACGCUGGCGGCGUGCCUAAUACAUGCAAGUCGAACGGUGAAAGCUUUCGGGUGAGUACUAGUGGCGCACGGGUGAGUAACGCGUGGAUAAUCUGCCUUAGAGUGGGGGAUAACUAGUCGAAAGAUUAGCUAAUACCGCAUAAGACCACAAGAACUGCGGUUCAGGAGGUCAAAGGUUUUUCGCUCUAAGAUGAGUCCGCGUAAGAUUAGCUAGUUGGUGAGGUAACGGCUCACCAAGGCAACGAUCUUUAACUGUUCUGAGAGGAUGAUCAGUCACACUGAAACUGAGACACGGUACAGACUCCUACGGGAGGCAGCAGUAGGGAAUAUUGCACAAUGGAGGAAACUCUGAUGCAGCGACGCCGCGUGAGUGAUGAAGGCCUUCGGGUCGUAAAGCUCUGUCGCAGGAGAAUACCACAAUGAAUGUACCCUGUAAGAAAGGAUCGGCUAACUUCGUGCCAGCAGCCGCCGUAAAAC
rnacentral:rRNA from 1 species